UAAAAGGAUUUGGGGCCGAGCAAGCCGAGAAGGCGCUGCAGGGGCUCCCAGACUCCGGCCCAGGUCGCUCGGCUCUGGUUGUAAGGAGCCACUCUGCCCUGGAGGGGAGGGCAGAGGCCACCCAGACCCAGAGACGUCUUCCUGGGGUGGGGGACAGUAGGGACCAGACUUUUUCUCCUCCUCUUCUUUCCUUUAUGAGCCAUGGCAUUCCUCUUGCGUCACAGCUGGGCUCAAGUGGCUCAGUUCAUCCAGCCUUCACCUUUAGGGGCCACCCACGCCUCCUCCCAAGAUGACUGCCAAGCCCUUUCCUCUGAAUUCCUCAUGGAGUGCCUGGCUUUCUUCUCAAGAGGAACAGCCCUUCUGCCUCUGAAGUGGGGCCCGGAGACCCACGAUGCUGUGCAGAUCAGUUGGAGAGAAGCUUGAACUAGCAGACUUCCACCUUCCCCACCCCAGGAGCUGUCAACCUCAUCGGUGGCCCAGCCCUCUCAGAGAGGAGGGAGAUUAGCCAAGGUUGGCGGGAGCAGGGGACGGGGGUCCUCUAGCCCACACCCCAGGGAAGGCUGGGUGGAGGAAGGAGGGGACAACCCAGGCCCUUGGCCUUCGCCUCCUACUCCCUCACCCCGCCCCCACCCCUGCAUCCCAAAGGAAGCCCUGUCUGCCCUCCUCUGCUUUCCUUCCAGCCCCUUUCCCUGCCCCUCCCAGCAAGGAUUUAUGGUUUUAAUAAUCCAGGCUUUCUCCACCAGCCUCCCUUGCUGUUUAGUCCCUUCUAAAGAUCCUUAAAAUUAAAACACUAAUCAGGAAUUUAUUUUCUCAUCAAUCCUGCCCUUCAGGUUAUGAGGCCCUUGUGUUUUCACAGCCGCAGGGAGGGCCCUCCAGGGGGAGAUGGGCAUAGGGAACAACGGCUCUGGCUCCAGUCUGGGGAAAGAAAGGAGAGAGAAGAAGGGGAGCGACUGCAGGAGGCAGAGUCAGAUCCAGGUCAGAGGGAAAGAGGGGUGCAGGUAGCUCGGAGAAGGUGUCACCUCUCUGCAUUGGCCCCCUGCCACCCAAAAGGGCUGUUUGCAAAGCCCAGGAACACUGUUCCUUCCAUGGGAAGCCUCUGAGAUGAGUCAGGUCACCCUGAUCGCUGAACAGGGAGUCUACUGCCUGCUUUGCCUCUGUCUGGGUGUGUGAGGGUGGGCAAGUCACUAGCCCUCCCUGAGCUUUGGUUGCUUCAUCAGGACAGUGAGGGGAUUGAAUGAACUCUAAGGCCCCUUCCUGCUCUAACAGGCAACAGACUUUGAUGUGAUCAUUUCAGAAAUAAAGAAAUGGAAAAUCUGUA